AGUGAACGCUGGCGGUAGGCCUAACACAUGCAAGUCGAACGGCAGCACAGUAAGAGCUUGCUCUUACGGGUGGAGAGUGGCGGACGGGUGAGGAAUACAUCGGAUUCUACUUUUUCGUGGGGGAUAACGUAGGGAAACUUACGCUAAUACCGCAUACGACCUACGGGUGAAAGCCGGGGUUCUUCGGACCUUGUGCGAUGGUAUGAGCCGAUGUCGGAUUAGCUAGUUGGCGGGGUAAAGGCCCACCAAGGCGACGAUCCGUAGCUGGUCUGAGAGGAUGGUCAGCCAGACGGUCAGUGAGACACGGUCCCGACUCCGGCAGGAGGAAACAGUGGAGAAUCUUAGGCGAGGGGGGAGAGGCGGAUCCUGCAAUACCGCGGGAGGGAUGAAGGACUUAGGGUGCGAGAGCGAUGAUGUCCGUAAGGAUAAACAGCUGGUUUAUACGCGAUGGUACUGACGGUACCGGAAGAAUAAGCACCGGCUAACUUCGUG
rnacentral:rRNA from 1 species